rnacentral:rRNA from 1 species
GACGGAGGAUGCAAGUGUUAUCCGGAAUCACUGGGCGUAAAGCGUCCGCAGGUGGCAGUUCAAGUCUGCUGUCAAAGACCGGGGCUUAACUUCGGAAAGGCAGUGGAAACUGAACAGCUAGAGUAUGGUAGGGGCAGAGGGAAUUCCUGGUGUAGCGGUGAAAUGCGCAGAUAUCAGGAGGAACACCAAUGGCGAAGGCAGCACUCUGGGACGGUACUGACGCUGAGACGCGAAAGCGUGGGGAGCAAACAGG